UAUGAACAUGCCGGCGAAGAUUUCUAUAUCGUCUAAAAAUUGUUAGUUUUCCGGCGAAUCGACGAUGAUAUAUGCAAAUAUUUAUGUUUGUCUUGGGUUUUAGAUAACGUAUGUGGUUGUGACUGGUUUUCGAUUUUUUGGUGGUUCUUUGGCAAAAAGAUGAGGAUGAGGUCGGGUUUCACCGUGAAGAGAGCUGACGGACAUUGUCCUAGACCACCCAGUAAGGAAGUAAUAAUGCAAAAUAAGUUGAUAGAAGCAGAGGUGAAGGCUACAAAGUGGAGGCAAAGACAAAUGCAUAAGGCGCAAUUAUAUCGUGAUUAUAUGGCUAGGAAAGCCAAGCGUGAGGCAGUAAGAAUGAUGUACCAAUGUUCAUUGAAUUUAAUAUAAUGUUCACGAUACCGUUCCACUUGUUCAUGAGUUUCAAUGUUAUUGUUCAUUAACUCACAUUGUUCAUCAAAUGUAUUCAUUGUUCAUCGAAAUGCAUCACAUGUAUGCAUUGUUCAUCAAAUGUAUUUAUUGUUCAUCAAAUGUAUACAAUGUUCAUCAAAUUUAUGCAUUGUUCAUCAAAUGUAUUCAUUGUUCAUCAAAUAUAUUCAUUGUUCAUCAAAAUGUAUUCAUUGUAUGUAUUUUAAUUAUGAUGUUGUCUUUUACCGAUUUGCGUUGACAGCGUACCUUAGGCGCAAAAACGAGUUUGCUAAGGCAGACACAGUAUCUCGAACACAAUUGCAGCUUGUAAAGAUGAAAUGAACCGACCACAAAAAUACAAUUGAUACGGGUGUGUACCUUAUGCGUCAUUUAGAGACAUUUAUGGGUGAUGGAUCACCGAGCUGGAAAUGUUGAAUGUCGUCACCAUCAACACGUCACAUAAGUCGCAUAAGAGUAAGAUAUUGUGCAAGAAUCUUAGAUUGCGAGUACAACAAUGCGAGGGGAGAUGUUCUGAGGUGUGCAUCGGAGUAUUAUCGGACCUUGUGCGUGGAUACUAUGUUCAACGCAAACUUUGUUUUGCUUGGAUGAGAGUGAAUGAAUAUACUAUGAGUAUUGCUUUGAUUUGAA